AGCCACACCAUGAACCAAACCUUAAAAAGAUUUGAUACAGCAUGAGGAGAAUCUGCUGCUUAAUGAACUAAGAUCUCCACACCAACUGUGCUGGUGGUAGAAAUUCUGUUCUUCAGGCAUUUAUUCACAACGAGAACAGGAGAGCCACUAAUGGCCAAAGCAGGAGUUCAGCAGGACUAAAAAAGCAUUACACUACCUGGAACAACUUUGCAAGUUAUGGAGAGAGGCUUUGGAAAUCCAGAUGUUCAGCAAAACAGCCCAGGAGUGCCAAAUUCCCAAGCAUUGGAUGCACUGAUGCUCGUAGUACCUUCUCUGCAGGAGGCAAGAGCAGAGUGAAACACUACUUUUUUGUUUCAGAAGAUGAAUCAAAGUUUAAUUAGCCCAGAUCUUCAGAGGAGGGAGAUAAAUUUUUUAAAGCCAUGUCCAACAGUGAUGAGGAUUAGGAGUAACAGGAGUUAUCUAUAUUUGAUGUGUAGGAGAGGAACAAAAUUAUCAAAUUCCAACAUUAAUACAACCAGACAUUCUUGUUGUUCAUUUUUCUCAGUUACCUUUUAGAAAGGACUUGUUUUUUAUUAUUUGAAAAUAGAAAUUGUAUUUCUCUAUUAUUUAUUCCAGUCAUUUUUGUCUUUCUUGCCCUUGAGAUUCAUUUGAUGUAGAAAAGCACAUACUUUGCAUAGGACCUAAUACCCCACAUGAGAAAAAUUACUAGUUUUUACUAAAAGAGUCCUGGCAUUACCAUGAAAUUAUUUCUUUACUAGACAAAGUAUUUUUAAGAUGGAUGUAAGAUAGGACAAAAACAUUGGUUCAGUCACCUCCAAAAGAACUCAUUAUAAUAAAAAAAGAGUGCAUACAGGUAAGACAUUUCACCAAGCUAUCACAGUCACAAUUUUUAAAAAUCCACCAUAUAACACAAACCCCAUAUUCUUCAUGACUCAUUCUUGGAAACACAAUUUUAAAAAAAAUUAUAUCAGUUUUUAGAGCGAAGCCAUCAAAGCUGCAAAGUAUCUCAAUAUGCUGUUAUGCAAUUCUUAAUAAAUAAGUUUUGGAAACACAUUAAAAUUAGAAUCAGCAUUUUCUUGACAGUUUGCUAUUAACAGACAAAUAAUUAUUUCAUUUCUGCCAAUGUAGCAAGCUGGUAGCAAUCCAACAUAAGUUAUUCCAUUUCAAGCUUGUUUCCUACCCAACAUUAGGUGAAAUUGGUUUACAUUACUUGACUAAUGCAGUACAGGCAAGACUCCUGACAUUGACUGUAAGAGUGCCUCAUACACUGGCUAUUAUUGCAUAGCUGAAACAAAAAUAUAAUUUAAAUGUAAUAAUAUUUAACAUUGCAGCACCCUAUGUCCUAGAAAAGCCCUCGCCCACAGCAGCAGCUUUGCCAUUGAUGAAGUCUGAGGUGUAGAUAGAAGCCCCAUAGGGAAACCUGAAGGGUAAAACACACCCAGACCAUGACUUCCCCACACAAAUAACUGCUUUCAUUGCAUCAUUUCAAACUGGAAGUUCAUUCAUCAAAACAAACCUGUGCAUUUGGAAAAUAAACCUCUCUUGUGCAUUUUUUUAACCCAAAAAGAAGCAAAAAUUAGACUAAAUGGAGAGUUCAGAAAGUUCCUCCUAAGUAUAAAGCAGAACAGGUGGUGCUCUAAAGUCACAGCAAUAAUGCACAGCUACAAAAAGCCUCACCCAAAACCAACCUGAAAACCUGAAAAACAUGAGUGGAGUGCUGUGGUACACUGCAUCAAGUAAUUACAGUGGUUUGGGUUGGAAGGGACUCCAAAAAUCAUCUUUUUCCAACCCAUUCCACUAUCCCAGGUUGUUCCAAGCCCUGUCCAAUCUGGACUUGGACACUUUCAGGGAUGGGGCAGCCACACCUUCUCUGGGCACCCUCUGUCAAGACCUCUCCACCCUCUCUCCACCCUCACAGGAAACAAUUUCUUCCUAAAAUCUGUUCACCAACAUUCAGACUAUUUUAGCUGUUACUGCUGUAGGAAGGGGAAGAUUAAAUCUUUCAUCUCUAUUUGCAGCAGGAAGAAAUAACCCAUGUGCAAUCCAGUUCGGUGCUACAACAGUUGCAUAUCCAAGGACAGAACCAGCAUGGCUGCACCACAUGAAAGCAGAUACCAAACACCAGUUGCCUCCAGCUGAAAGCCUGAUUUGUCCUGUUGGGUCCAGAGUGGGAUGAACUCUCUAAAUCUCAGCUAUCACCAGGAAGUGACAGGCUCCUGUGUGACACAAGUCCAGACACAUAAAGGAAUCCUCAUGCUACUAUCCCUUGCAUAAAGUAAGGAUGUGUGAACAAGCAGCCCUGAAAUCCUGGAUUCAUUACCAGGAGUCAGGAAGACAGGGAAAAGAAGAACACAACACAGAGCAAAAUGAAAAGAGCAGCUGUACAGCAAGAUUAUUUUGAACUUCUGUCAGAGGAACACAAACCAUCCCAGAAAGCUCCGUAUGCUCAAACAGCACUGGAGCACUGCCAUUAGGGUCACCAUCCUGAAGGAAAACUGAAGUAGAAGUUUCAAGAAAAGAGGUAAGAACAGCCAGUGGUUUAUUUGCCACACAGUAUCUGGGUACCAACUGCUGGAUUACACUUUACACCCUUUCCCAGCUCCCGGAAUUGACAAGGUACAGUAACAAUUUAUGGCUCCCUCCAAUUACCUUGCAGCAAAUCUGACUCUUCCAGUCAGCUCCUUUCAUAAAAAGAUGAACCUUCCCUUGAUACUUGUCCCUUAAAAGGUUCAGUAUUCCACAAGAACACCCUGGUUCACAUUUCCCUUUGCCUGAGCUCCUUGCUAGCAGAGAGGCUGUACGUCAGCUACGUGCUUGCUGUUAUCCCACUCAAGGUUCCAGGUAAAUCAGCUUAACAUCAUUCCCAGGCAUUUCCCUUUGGUUAUGUGACAGCCACAGCUUCAGUGACUCACAGAGUGGCUCGCAUGUGGCACUAUUUGGCCAUCAUCACUCUACAUCUGUGCCUUUGCCACUCCAGCCUGGCUGAGAAGUCUUUCAGGGUGCAACAGAGGCUGUCAUGUUGCUACGCAAGUUAAUCAAGAACUUGUUCCAGAGCUGGACUUCAUUACAGGGACAUGAUCCUGGGCAUGCCAACAGUCUCACCCACUGGGGAUGGGAUAUUCACCUACCAACUCCUGAUUUAAGGUCUAAUUAUUCAUCUAGUAGCCAUACCUUAAAUUUUUACAGGAAAAAAGCCACUGAUAAGUAGUGGUCAAAUGUCUAAAGGAAGUUCACCCUGUAAUCUUGUACUAAGGUUUGAACUCUGAAUGAAGCAACUCAGAUGGUUUCCCCUGCCAAUAUUAAAAUCAGACCAGAUAUUCCCAUACGCCUUGUACUUUAAAUCCCAGCAAUGAAGAGGCUCAACAUUACAGCUACACAUUGUGACAUCACCACAAUGGGUUUAAAUAGUCUUUUUUUCAUGAGAUUCUUGAACACGUCCAGGGAUGGGGCAUCCAGAGCUUCUCUGAGCCUCACCACCCCCACAGGAAAGAAUAUCUUCCUAAUAUCCAGUCUAAACUUCCUCUCUAUAAAUUUGAAACCAUCCUCUCUUCUUCCCUCUUGUUUAAUUUUUUACUCCAUUAUAGAAGUGUCUUCACCCUACCACAAGCUUCAUGUCCAUGUCAGCAAGAAAAAGAAGGGUAUUUUUAAAAAUGGUGUAUACAUUGAAUGCUAUUCUCAUUCAUACUGGUCAAGCUGAGGAUAAUGGAGGUCUCUUGAAAUAAAAUAUAGUUUGUCCAGA